AGCUACAGGCUUAACACAUGCAAGUCGAGGGGCAGCAUGGUCUUAGCUUGCUAAGGCCGAUGGCGACCGGCGCACGGGUGAGUAACACGUAUCCAACCUGCCGUCUACUCUUGGACAGCCUUCUGAAAGGAAGAUUAAUACAAGAUGGCAUCAUGAGUCCACAUGUUCACAUGAUUAAAGGUAUUCCGGUAGACGAUGGGGAUGCGUUCCAUUAGAUAGUAGGCGGGGUAACGGCCCACCUAGUCUUCGAUGGAUAGGGGUUCUGAGAGGAAGGUCCCCCACAUUGGAACUGAGACACGGUCCAAACUCCUACGGGAGGCAGCAGUGAGGAAUAUUGGUCAAUGGGCGAGAGCCUGAACCAGCCAAGUAGCGUGAAGGAUGACUGCCCUAUGGGUUGUAAACUUCUUUUAUAAAGGAAUAAAGUCGGGUAUGCAUACCCGUUUGCAUGUACUUUAUGAAUAAGGAUCGGCUAACUCCGUGCCAGCAGCCGCGGUAAUACGGAGGAUCCGAGCGUUAUCCGGAUUUAUUGGGUUUAAAGGGAGCGUAGAUGGAUGUUUAAGUCAGUUGUGAAAGUUUGCGGCUCAACCGUAAAAUUGCAGUUGAUACUGGAUAUCUUGAGUGCAGUUGAGGCAGGCGGAAUUCGUGGUGUAGCGGUGAAAUGCUUAGAUAUCACGAAGAACUCCGAUUGCGAAGGCAGCCUGCUAAGCUGCAACUGACAUUGAGGCUCGAAAGUAUGGGUAUCAAACAGGAUUAGAUACCCUGGUAGUCCACACGGUAAACGAUGAAUACUCGCUGUUUGCGAUAUACGGCAAGCGGCCAAGCGAAAGCGUUAAGUAUUCCACCUGGGGAGUACGCCGGCAACGGUGAAACUCAAAGGAAUUGACGGGGGCCCGCACAAGCGGAGGAACAUGUGGUUUAAUUCGAUGAUACGCGAGGAACCUUACCCGGGCUUAAAUUGCAGAUGAAUUACGGUGAAAGCCGUAAGCCGCAAGGCAUCUGUGAAGGUGCUGCAUGGUUGUCGUCAGCUCGUGCCGUGAGGUGUCGGCUUAAGUGCCAUAACGAGCGCAACCCUUGUUGUCAGUUACUAACAGGUUCCGCUGAGGACUCUGACAAGACUGCCAUCGUAAGAUGUGAGGAAGGUGGGGAUGACGUCAAAUCAGCACGGCCCUUACGUCCGGGGCUACACACGUGUUACAAUGGGGGGUACAGAGGGCCGCUACCACGCGAGUGGAUGCCAAUCCCCAAAACCUCUCUCAGUUCGGACUGGAGUCUGCAACCCGACUCCACGAAGCUGGAUUCGCUAGUAAUCGCGCAUCAGCCACGGCGCGGUGAAUACGUUCCCGGGCCUUGUACACACCGCCCGUCAAGCCAUGGGAGCCGGGGGUACCUGAAGUGCGUAACCGCGAGGAGCGCCCUAGGGUAAAACUGGUGACUGGGGCUAAGUCGU
rnacentral:rRNA from 1 species